UGAUGUCACAUAGGUUAUCGCUGGUCUAAUCUUAAAUCUAAUCCGCGUGGGUUAGAAAGGAGGACGAGAGGAAAGUCCGAGCUCCGUAGAGUACAAUGCCGGGUAACCCCCGGUGGCGGCAACGCUAAGGAAAGUGCCACAGAAAAAAGACCGCCUGACCCAGAGCUUGCAGCUUUUGAAAGCUCUGAACAAGGAAGGUAAGGGUGAAAAGGUGGAGUAAGAGCCCACCGCAUCUGCGGUAACGCUAGAUGGCAUGGUAAACCCCAUUGGGAGCAAGGCCGUGUAGGUAGGCAAGCGAUCAUCUGCACAUGGAUUGCAUCUCUCUCUCCUUUACAGGAGUAGAGAGGGAAGGGCUACUCGCUCGGGCCUACGGGUUGGCUGCUUGAGGUAGUCGGUAACGGCUAUCCUAGAGGAAUGAUAACUGUUGUUGUUCAGAUGACUGAAAGCAAUACAAAACUCGGCUUAUUUGCGGCAUUGACCA
rnacentral:RNase_P_RNA from 1 species